rnacentral:rRNA from 1 species
AAAGCGUGCGCAGGCGGUUUUGUAAGACUGUCGUGAAAUCCCCGGGCUCAACCUGGGAAUGGUGAUGGUGACUGCAAGGCUAGAGUUUGGCAGAGGGGGGUAGAAUUCCACGUGUAGCAGUGAAAUGCGUAGAUAUGUGGAGGAACACCGAUGGCGAAGGCAGCCCCCUGGGUCAAAACUGACGCUCAUGCACGAAAGCGUGGGGAGCAAACAGGAUUAGAUACCCGUGU